GGUUAAGUGAAUAAGGGCGCACGGUGGAUGCCUUGGCACUAGGAGCCGAUGAAGGACGGGACUAACACCGAUAUGCUUUGGGGAGCUGUAAGUAAGCUAUGAUCCAGAGAUUUCCGAAUGGGGGAACCCAAUAUCUUUUAUAGGAUAUUACUUUUCAGUGAAU
rnacentral:rRNA from 1 species